ACAUGGCACACAUGGAUUGGAUAAUAUGGUUACUUGAACACUGGAUUUGCAAAUGCAGAACAGCUGACUUAUGUUUCAUAUGUCAGUUGGAGAUUUUCCAGGCAAAAUUUCUAGUAACUCAGCAUUCGAUUGACACAUCAGUGAGGAAGGUUCAGUUUAGUUUGUUAUAAUUUAGUUUCACCCCAUCUGUCAUUUGUACCAAUUCUAGAUAUUGUCCAUAACAAGUCUUCAUGUUAACAUUCUUGCCAGUGGUGCUGAUACUUUUUUUUUAUCACAACCACUUGUUUCAGCUGUUCCAAGUAUAGAAGCAUUACUUAUGCAAAUACUUAGAGAGGGCUGCCCUUUACAAAAGAAGAGCUUAUCACGAUGCCGUGAUGGUAUGUUUGCAAAACUGGAAAAAAUUCUGUGCUAUGGUGGCCUUAAGUAUGUGCUCAACAUUUUGAAAAAUGUGAACAGCAAAAACAGUUGGUCAGAAUUUCAAACGUCAAAAGUACUUAUUUUUGGAAAAUCAGUUAAUCUACAUCCUGAUUUUCUGCUGUUCCAUCAAUCACUAUGCAGUGUGUUUGGACAACCUAAGCAUUCUUGAAUCAGACUGCUUCAGUUUAUAAUGAGAUGUAUUGCUUGUCAUGCCC